rnacentral:rRNA from 1 species
GAUGAACGCUGGCGGCGUGCCUAAUACAUGCAAGUCGAGCGAACAGACGAGGAGCUUGCUCCUCUGACGUUAGCGGCGGACGGGUGAGUAACACGUGGAUAACCUACCUAUAAGACUGGUAUAACUUCGGGAAACCGGAGCUAAUACCGGAUAAUAUAUUGAACCGCAUGGUUCAAUAGUGAAAGACGGUUUUGCUGUCACUUAUAGAUGGAUCCGCGCCGCAUUAGAUAGUUGGUAAGGUAACGGCUUACCAAGGCAACGAUGCGUAGCCGACCUGAGAGGGUGGUCGGCCACACUGGAACUGAGACACGGUCAAGACUCCUACGGGAGGCAGCAGUAGGGAAUCUUACGCAAUGGGCGAAAGCCUGACGGAGCAACGCCGCGUGAGUGAUGAAGGUCUUCGGAUCGUAAAACUCUGUUAUUAGGGAAGAACAAAUGUGUAAGUAACUAUGCACGUCUUGACGGUACCUAAUCAGAAAGCCACGGCUAACUACGUG